rnacentral:rRNA from 1 species
CCUACGGGAGGCAGCAGUGAGGAAUAUUGGUCAAUGGGCGAGAGCCUGAACCAGCCAAGUUGCGUGAGGGAAGACGGUCCUAUGGAUUGUAAACCUCUUUUGUCGGGGAGCAAAAAGGCCUCGUGAGGCCUCAAGUGAGAGUACCCGAAGACAAAGCAUCUGCUAACUCCGUGCCAGCAGCCGCGGUAAUAAGUAGGUUGCAAGCGUUGUCCGGAUUUACUGGGUGGAAAGGGCGUGUAGCCGGGCUGACAAGUCAGAUGUGAAAUCCGGGGGCUCAACCCCCGAACUGCAUUUGAAAUUGUUGGUCUUGAGUAUCGGAGAGGCAGGCGGAAUUCCUAGUGUAGCGGUGAAAUGCGUAGAUAUUCAGAGGAACCCCAGUGGCGAAGGCGGCCUGCUGGACGACAACUGACGGUGAGGCGCGAAAGCGUGGGGAGCAAACAGGAUUAGAUACCCUGGUAGUC